rnacentral:rRNA from 1 species
CCUACGGGAGGCAGCAGUGGGGAAUCUUCCGCAAUGGGCGAAAGCCUGACGGAGCAACGCCGCGUGAUCGAAUGAAGGCCUUCGGGUUUUAAAGUUCUGUUGACAGGGACGAAUAAGCAAUGCGAAUGGUUUUGUGUAUGACGGUACCUGUUUAGCAAGCUCCGGCUACCUACGUGCCAGCAGCCGCGUUAAUACGUAGGGAGCCAGCGGUGUCCGGAAUUACUGGGCGUAAAGGGGGCGUGGGUGGGCGCUUCAGUCAGGUGUGAAAACUCCGGGCCCAACCUGGAGCCUGCAGUUGAAACUGGGUGUCUUGAGGGCAGGAGAGGAAAGUGGAAUUCCUAGUGUAGCGGUGAAAUGCGUAGAUAUUAGGAGGAACACCAGUGGCGAAGGCGACUUUCUGGACUGUACCUGACGCUGAGGCGCGAAAGCGUGGGUAGCGAACGGGAUUAGAUACCCGAGUAGUC